rnacentral:rRNA from 1 species
UACAGAGGGUGCAAGCGUUGUUCGGAAUUAUUGGGCGUAAAGGGCGCGUAGGCGGUGCGGUAAGUCCGCAGUGAAAUCUCUGGGCUCAACUCAGAGUCUGCUGUGGAACUGCCGUGCUUGAGUGUGGGAGAGGUGAGUGGAAUUCCCGGUGUAGCGGUGAAAUGCGUAGAUAUCGGGGAGGAACACCGGUGGCGAAGGCGGGUCUCUGGGCCGAUACUGACGCUGAGGAGCGAAAGCGUGGGGAGCGAACAGG